rnacentral:rRNA from 1 species
GUGCACCAGGCGCGAAACCUCCGCAAUGCGGGAAACCGCGACGGGGGGACCCCGAGUGCCGUGGCAACGCCACGGCUUUUCCGGAGUGUAAAAAGCUCCGGGAAUAAGGGCUGGGCAAGGCCGGUGGCAGCCGCCGCGGUAAUACCGGCGGCCCGAGUGGUGGCCGCUAUUAUUGGGCCUAAAGCGUCCGUAGCCGGGCCCGUAAGUCCCUGGCGAAAUCCCACGGCUCAACCGUGGGGCUUGCUGGGGAUACUGCGGGUCUUGGGACCGGGAGAGGCGGGGGGUACCCCUGGGGUAGGGGUGAAAUCCUAUAAUCCCAGGGGGACCGCCAGUGGCGAAGGCGCCCCGCUGGAACGGGUCCGACGGUGAGGGACGAAGGCCAGGGGAGCAAACCGGAUUAGAUACCCGCGUAGU